UACGUAGGCAGCGAGCGUUGUUCGGAGUUACUGGGCGUAAAGGGUGCGUAGGUGGGUUGGUAAGUCAGUGGUGAAAUCUCCGUGCUUAACAUGGAACUGCCAUUGAUACUACUGAUCUUGAAUUUUCGGGAGGUAAGCGGAAUAUGUCAUGUAGCGGAUGAAAUGCUUAGAUAUGACAUAGAACACCAAUUGCGAAGGCAGCUUACUACAGGAAUAUUGACACUGAUGCACGAAAGCGUGGGGAUCAAACAGG
rnacentral:rRNA from 1 species